rnacentral:rRNA from 1 species
UUGACCUCGGAUCAGGUAGGGAUACCCGCUGAACUUAAGCAUAUCAAUAAGCGGAGGAAAAGAAACCAACUGGGAUUGCCCUAGUAACGGCGAGUGAAGCGGCAAUAGCUCAAAUUUGAAAUC